ACCUUCAGUUCCAGUAGUUGUAGUUUCUUCCGCAGCCCUCUGUUUUCUUUCUGGCUUUGAGUUAUUUCCAAACGAAACACUGCAUAGUCGUCGUCUACGAGUUUACAGAUCUCUCCUACGGCUGUAUUUGCUAGCUCCUCCAUGAUGGAGGCAAUUUGAGUGUGAAAAACCAUAUAGUUAGUCAUUGUUAGCAGCAAGCUAGCGUUACCUAGAUAACAUAUAUCAACCAAGUCCUGUCUCCAGCGCGAAUUAAAGACUACCUGAGGAACAGGAGGGUCUAUCUCUAUCAGCUCCAGGCCCUGCUUCAUCCCUGCACUGAGACUGUGAAGAGAAGAGUCUGGGCUGCAGACUGGAUCCCUGACUGGAGCCUCUGUCUCUCUGAUGACCACCAGGACUGAGGUUGUUCAGUCCUCCUGUCCACUGGUUGUGUUCUGUGUAGUGGUUGUGAUGGAGACUCUGUCCCUCGCGGUUGGGUCCUGAUAAUAACUCGGGAAGGAAGAGCGAUGGCUCCUGAUCCAGGGUUCUGAGACGGAGCCAGGGUUUGUGACCAGCCAUCUCAGAGGUCCACUCUCUCCCACCAGUAACACUGGAUAUCAGCAGGUCUUCAAGGACUGCAGACUGCAAACAAAGAUGGUACAGAAAGGCAUAAAGGUUUAUUUAAGAAACUCUUUACUGUACACAGAAACAUGACAUUAUAUUAUAAAAUGUUAACCACAGUCAAGCCCAUCUCUAAAACUGAUUGAAGUACCUAACAAUAUGGAGCCAUUGGAAUAAUUUUUUUAUGUCCAAACUCCGUCCCUACAAAAAUAACCAAGUCAGUCAGGACAGAGUCAAAUUCGUAUUUAAUUAAAACAAAUCACAUUUAUUGCACAAAACAAUAUGUGACAAGUAGAAUAACUUUUCUCAUUAGGUUAACACUUUACUUUUUCUGUAAAUCUGGUACCCUCCCUUUGGUCAAAUUAAUGUUAAAAUACUUAGGAAAAUGUUUAAUAUUACAUUACACACAGCAUCUCUACUUCAUGUCAAGUAAACAUGAAUUAAGAUACUAUCAUUAUCUCACUAUAAAACACCAGUAUCAAACAGGACAAAGUUGUCACUUUCCAUCAGUGAAGCAUUUUUACAGACACCGUCACACCAACCAUCACCAUAUAAUCUAAGCUGCCUCAUCAUACUCACUCUUCCCUCAUUCUCCUCAUCCAGUUCCCUACUACAUCCAAAACUAACAGAAUGAACUAUAAACUACCUAGUACUACAUUACAUGUCACUAUACUCUAUACAUGGGCCUGUGCAUUUCCCCCAGACCCUCCUCUCACCCCUCCUUCACCAGCAGCACCUCCUCCUCCUGGAAGAGACAGACAUACACUCCCUCAGGUAGGUAGGCACAGAUAAUAAACACACUUUCAACAUGGAGUGUUUACCCAUCCCCACUACGAGUCCUGUACUGUAGUUACAGAAUGACUUCAUUGUUGUUAAACCCAUCAUGGUGGACAUAAAUAUCACGUGGGUAAAAACAUGUCAGUUAUGAUAAGUCAAAUGUCAUUAUUGGACAAACCUGACUAAACUAGUUUGACGUGUACAGUAGGUGUUUGUGUGUGGCUGUGUGUCGGUAUAUUCAGUAAGUAUUGUAAAAACGGCUAGCUGGCGCCGUCUGAGCCCUCAUACGCUAGUGACUUAAUGCCGACUUUACUUAGGUCUGACCCCAGGCGGUCAGGCAAGAACCAGGCAGAUGUGUCCAUAUCCAUGCUAUUCGUUUCAAAGAAAUGAAGGUGUGUCAGCAGAUGCCAUAUUCUGACCUUGACUUGAUUCCCGCAUAAUUCCGCCACCUUUAUGCACGAGGAAACCAUGAGUUAGGUCGAGCACACCUGCUUCCAAGUGAAAAAAGCAUUAAAAAAAAUAUAAAUCGCUGUGUCAUUAUUCUGAAUUUUAAUUGUAGGCCUAUGGCUUGAUUUUUGUAGGCAUAAUUUAAUUACAUUGUUAGUUUAGCUUUCAUUCCUCUGCCAUGUCUGUGUGGUUGUUCCUGGGGGUCGCUAGCAAUAGUGGAUUGUGUUAGGCUAACGUAUUACAAGUUGCGCAAUAAUUUGGGACAUGUAGCCUAUUUGAAUCAUUAUGGAACGCAGAUCAUACAGAGCAGUUUAAAUCUGGAGCACGGAUCACAACGAGUGGACCGUUGUCGUCACAGUUCCGUGAUUAGGGAAGAUUUAUAGGACUUUUGUUGAACUCCUGUUGUACACUUGUCUCACCUUCCAAUAUUUCAUGGAAUAAACAAUUUCAUUUGGCAAUUUU